rnacentral:rRNA from 1 species
UACGUAGGGGGGCGAGCGUUGUCCGGAGUUACUGGGCGUAAAGCGCACGCAGGCGGUCUGCUAAGUUUGGAGUGACAGUUGGUGGCUUAACUGCCAAAGUGCUUCGAAAACUGACAGACUUGAGGGCUUCAGAGGGACACGGAAUUCCGGGUGGAGUGGUGAAAUGCGUAGAGAUCCGGAGGAAUACCAAAGGCGAAGGCAGUGUCCUGGCUGGCAUCUGACGCUGAGGCGCGAAAGCUAGGGGAGCGAACAGG